AUUACUCUCUCUCUCUCUCUGAACUCUCAAAGUUUCGCCCCUUUCUCAAUUGCUUUCCCUUUGUGAUCUAUCGAUAGUUUCAGAAACGAAGAUCUCUCAUCUGAAUCGGAGAUCUUUCAUCUUUCUCCGUCGAUGCCGAUGAUUGAAGAUUAUAUCAAUCUGAGGUGAAAACGGAAUUGAUGUUCCAGAAACGGAUUCUUGGCUGCCGAAUCUAAAUCAGAGGACUCUCAUCUUUCUCCGUUGAUGCCGACGACUGAAGAUUCUAUGAAUCUGAGGUGGAAACGGAAUCGAUGGUUCCAGAAACGGAUUCUUGGCUGCCGGAUCUGAAUCGGAGAACUCUCAUCUUUCUCCGUUGAUGCCGAUGACUGAAGAUUCUAUGAAUCUGAGGUGGAAAUCGAUUGUUCCAUAAGCAAUUCGUCACCGACAGAAUUGCACGUCCUCCGCCUGCCGCCGUAAACCUCCUCCUCCGCCAUUCCCUGGAGAGACAUGCUGCCUCCGCCGUUGUUCUCGUAAACCUUCUUCGCCGCUUCGACAAACAGUUCCACCCGCGGCGCUAGGCGAUUCGCCGGAUCCGAUGGUUCUAGAAAAUGAUUCGUGGCUGCCGAAACUUAAUCGGCCUCUCAGGUGAUUUCGUUCUGAAUUCUAUAUUUAUAAGUUUGGGGGCUGGUGAUGCCAAUAUUGUGAUUUAAUCAACUUCUAUAUUUAUAAGUUUGGGGGCUGGUGAUGCCAAUAUUGUGAUUUAAUUGACGGAAAAACUAAACCAAAUAAACUGAGUUUACAUUUCAAACAACUCUAAAAUUCCUAUACAUUGUUUGUCACUGUAAACCCUUAACAAAAAACUGAAAUAGAGAUAAACUACUUGCUUAAGUCAAGUUGUUGAAGUCCUACCAGUAGGCUCUCGGCUGUGUUGCUUGUAUCUUCCCCACUUUCUUGCAAAUAUAGGUAGUUUAAGCUUUCAUGCACAAGCUGAUCAUCCACUUCUAAGCAUUCAGGUAGUAUUCCCAGCCUUUCCAGUUUCUCUUUGCUCAUAUGAGGGAUCUUAUAAUUGUUGCCUCUCUAAAUUUUCAUAGUCUCUAUGUAGCACCCUUGCAAUGAUAGAAACACAUGGUUUAUCUUUGUUGGUGGAUACUCAUCAAAUGCAUCUUUCACAUUCUUGAGCAAGUCUUCUACCCCAUUAGCUGGCUUCUUAUCUUUCAGUGAUUGUGUAGCCCUAAAAAAUCCUAGAUCGUUGACAUUAGUAUCCGGAGAGUUUGCUGGUUGACAAAUUAGUUGAAUGUUGAAUCCAUCAGAGGUGGCAGCUUGUAUGAAAUCUGGAUCAUCCCCCUUUAUAUGUGGUUUAACAUUAUCCUGUUGUAUGAAUAUAUGUUUGCUCAUUCCAGCUGGCCACUUAGCUUUAAUGAUUGGAAUCAUCUGCAUACAGGUUGGUUUUAUAAACACUAAAUGAUGAAAUAACAUUCUGAUAGUAAGAAAGAUGACAUGAAACUGACUUGAUUGAUGAAGCAAUCCUUCGUGAUUGCUCUUGUGAUAGCUUGAAUUGGUUUUGUUUCUAUGGUGCGUUUCAAUCUGUUCUUAGAGUUUAUUUGAGCUGGCUCCUCAGUUAUGAAUGGAAAUAUACCAAUUUUGCCAUCAAAAAAUGCAAUUUCCAUUGCUAUCGAAUAUUGGUCUUGAAACAGCAGCUAAGAACAUGAUUUUCUCAAUGUGUCUUUUUGAUUUGCAUGUCCUAUAUGGCUCUAUCUCAUUUGGUAAAAGGUAAUAUCUGCCACUUGUCUUAGUCAAAUUAAACCACUUUUCAUCUACAUGUAUUAUGUUAUACAUUGUCUGAAAUCUGAAUUUUCCACCUUCACUUAAUGGAUUGAGCUGACAUAGGCUCAUCUAAGCUACACAGCAUAUUUUGGGGUGUGAGGAAUGGCUUGAUUGCAUUAGUGUGUGGCUUUAACUUAUGUUCCUUAACCCACGGAUGGAUCAAGCUCUUACUCACACCUAUCUUACUUGACAUGAUUCUGAGGGAAGGUCUCUCUAAAACUGACAAUGUUUUAAUUCUCUCUACAUCAAGUACCUUUUUUGUCUGCAUGUUUUGAUCCCUUCUUCAUUGAAAUCACAUGAAUAGGUCUUCCCAAAGCUUGUUGAGCAGCUGCUGAUUUCCAAAUGCGCCAGAUUGUCUUGACAUCAACUAGGAACUUUUGUGCCGCCUCCUUUUUUGCUCCAUGAAUCAGAUUUCCUUCUCUGCUGUGUUGUAAGAGCCACUGUCCAAUGUUGUUCCUCUCUUCAUUUGAUAAAUUUCGUUUACUAGACAUGCUGUAGAAGGAGGAUAGAUUUCCUUUGUUUGUAAUGGAAAGAAUUCUGGGUCAGAUUCUUUUAUAAAGGAGGUUAGGUGGGGUUUGAGCUUCCCUCCAAUAAAAAUACACUUUGUGUGCUUUUUGGCUCCAAAUUUGUG
rnacentral:lncRNA from 1 species